rnacentral:rRNA from 1 species
UACGUAGGGUGCGAGCGUUAAUCGGAAUUACUGGGCGUAAAGCGUGCGCAGGCGGUUCGUUGUGUCGGCGGUGAAAGCCCCGGGCUUAACCUGGGAAUGGCCGUUGAAACUGGCGAACUGGAGUGUGGCAGAGGGGGGUGGAAUUCCGCGUGUAGCAGUGAAAUGCGUAGAGAUGCGGAGGAACACCGAUGGCGAAGGCAGCCCCCUGGGCUGACACUGACGCUCAGGCACGAAAGCUAGGGGAGCAAACAGG